GUGCAGACCUGAAAUCCAAGAGUAAACAGAUCCUUUUCAUCUAGAGGAAGAACACCAACAUGGUGCUGUCCAGGCUGCUGAAGCUGGUCAUGGUGUCCAUGUGGCUGGGAUCCAGUUUUGCCCAGAAGGUGACUCAGGCCCAGCCAGCCAUGUGGGUGCAGGAGAAGGAGGCUGUGACCCUGCUCUGCUCCUAUGACACCACUGUGACAAGUUAUGGUCUCCUCUGGUACAAGCAGCCCAGCAGUGGGGAGAUGGUCUUCCUCCUUCUUCAGAACUCUUACAGCCAGCAAAAUGCCACAGAAGGUCGCUACUUAGUGAAUUUGCAGAAGGCAAGCAAAUCCAUCCAGCUUGUCAUCUCAGCCUCACAGCUGGGGGACUCAGAGGUGUAUUUCUGUGCACUGAGAGAUGGCACAUUUUCAGAGGUCUUGGACUUGCACAUCAAUUGA